GAUGAAGAACGCAGCGAAAUGCGAUAAGUAAUGUGAAUUGCAGAAUUCAGUGAAUCAUCGAAUCUUUGAACGCACAUUGCGCCCGCCAGUAUUCUGGCGGGCAUGCCUGUUCGAGCGUCAUUUCAACCAUCAAGCCCCCGGCUUGUGUUGGGGACCUGCGGCUGCCGCAGGCCCUGAAAACCAGUGGCGGGCUCGCUAGUCACUCCGAGCGUAGUAGUUACAUCUCGCUCAGGGCGUGCUGCGGGUUCCGGCCGUUAAAAGCCUUAUUUACCCAAGGUUGACCUCGGAUCGGGUAGGAAGACCCGCUGAACUUAAGCAUAUCAAUAAGCGGAGGA
rnacentral:misc_RNA from 1 species